CGGUAAUACAGAGGGUGCGAGCGUUAAUCGGAUUUACUGGGCGUAAAGCGUGCGUAGGCGGCUGAUUAAGUCGGAUGUGAAAUCCCUGAGCUUAACUUAGGAAUUGCAUUCGAUACUGGUCAGCUAGAGUAUGGGAGAGGAUGGUAGAAUUCCAGGUGUAGCGGUGAAAUGCGUAGAGAUCUGGAGGAAUACCGAUGGCGAAGGCAGCCAUCUGGCCUAAUACUGACGCUGAGGUACGAAAGCAUGGGGAGCAAACAGGAUUA
rnacentral:rRNA from 1 species